rnacentral:tRNA from 1 species
GUUUUUAUAGCUGAAAGUACAGCGAGGGUUUUUCGUGCCCUAGGUCUUGGUUUAAAAUCCGAGUGAAAAUA